AAUAAGUGUAGUUUUAUAUUAUUCACGUUCAAGGUUUGAUUGUUUGUCUUAUUUGAAAAAUUUUUUAUGAUUAGUAUUUUUAUUGCUAUUAGAUGAUAAAACAUGAAUAGUACUUUAUGUGUGACUAAAUAUUUUUAAAUUUUUUAUAAAAUUUUUAAAUAAGACGAACGGUCAAACGUUGGGCAUGGAUAUCCACGGCUGCACUUAUU
rfam:Oryza glaberrima chromosome 4 Oglab04_0245_17, whole genome shotgun sequence.